AAGUAUAUUGAAUUCUAAUUCAUAUCUACCCACCCUGUGUACCUUCUUACUGUUGCUUCCAUGGGACUUGGCUGCGCCACGCCGGCCUCUUGGCUGGUGAGCUUCCAUGGGAGGGAAUCAAAACUCCUUUUUCUACAUGACGUCUGUCUGAAGUGUUUGUUAUGAAUGUUA
rnacentral:misc_RNA from 1 species